AGGUCUUGAAGAACCAGCAGUUUUGUGAUGGAACAAUUCAAAGUCUUGGUGCCUGGUGUCGUUAUCUGGGCUGGACCCUCUGCGUGUCCCUCUGUCUUACAUGUGUUACCAUCACGGGUAGUCUCGGACUAAAGUGGGUGAUAUUUGUUAGUAAGAUGCUUUGUUGAGACUUGAAUAUUGUGUCUUUGUGCACAAUAUUUGUUUCCCAAACAUAUGCAAAUUAAUUAAAAUUUUAUACACUCCAGGUUUAACAAAACAGAGACUCAACUGUGGGCUCAUUCUGUCUUCUUUUCUCUCAUCUGCGGUGGUUUUGUUUUGCAUCCAGCGAUGAUUCUUAUAACUGCAAUCACAGUUUCUCUAAAACAUCGAAAAAGAUCUGACUGGUUCCACAGUCUGAGUGUAACAGAGCCUGUCUUUGAGUUAUUGAGACACAGAGGCCAAAAAUCUGAUGUCUUUGGUAGUAAAUGCCAGCAGUUCACAGAGAGAAGCACACAUUUUGAAAUGGUGCUUGCUGACCGUCAGAGAGCCAGAUUUUUGCGCUUAGUGCGUCCACCAAAUUCAAAAGAUUUGAAGCUUGUGAGAGGCCAGAUCAAGAAACAAACACUCUUAUAUAAAACUACAAGGUAUUACUUUUUGAUCAGAUUUACUCUCAAAGUCUGUGUAAACCAGAUGUUUCUUUUAUUUCAGUAUGUUAUUGUACACCCAACUGAAACAGAAUACUGAGUGGGAGGCAAGGCUUUCUUUUGCACAUAUUUCAGUGGAUAAACUUUUGUUUUCACACAGACAUUAAAGUGGCCAUAUUUUUCUGUUUCUGUUUUUGUUUUGGAGGUCUCCUACAAUAUAUGCAUCCACCAAAGUGCAAAAUAAGGUCAAAAAGUGAUAGUAAACAAAAGUAAAGCUGUUUAUAGGUUGAAUAUGUUAUUAUCAAACUGCCUACUGACCUUUAUCAUGAUGUAUUGUUGAAGUGCAUUAGCCAGCAUGGAUUAAACAUUGUAGUCUAUAAUCAAAAGGCAAAAAAUGUAAAAAGCAAAUCUGCUAAUUUUCUCAUAAUGUUCAUAGUCUUGGUCUUAGUAAAAACAGCAUUCGGUGUAGUUCUGCAAAAAUUAAUAUUGCUGC
rnacentral:lncRNA from 1 species